GUGGGUGUAGCUCAGCUGGUAGAGCGCUAGGUUGUGGUCCUAGAUGUCGCGGGUUCAAGUCCCGUCACUCACC
rnacentral:tRNA from 1 species